rnacentral:tRNA from 1 species
GCCCUGGUGGCGAAAUCGGUAGACGCGCCGGAUUCAAAAUCCGGUUCCGCAAGGAGUGACGGUUCGAGUCCGUCCCGGGGCACCA